rnacentral:lncRNA from 1 species
CGGGCCCGAGCGGGGAGUGGGCGGUGGGUCGGUGCAGCAGCUCCGCCGCGGCUCCGCCACCAUCGCGGAGGUGCCGCUGUUCCCACAGACGCUCGCGAGCAAGCAACCCUCCGCGCUCUGGAGCCUCCUCAGCCUCCCGCACACCCCGAGACGCUCGCCCCGCUGGGCCUCGGUCCCCGCCUCCUCCCCCGUCCUUUUCCCCUCUCUCGCUCCCCACAUUGUCUCUGCCUCAUUUUCUCUCCUAGUUGAGGAUUAAAAAAAAAAAAAUCACCAUCAUCCUCAGGGAGCCCCCUCGCCCUCGGAAAACAAAACCAGACAUGAUCCUCGGCUCCUGCUUCUGAAAGAUCUGCCCGACCGAGGAGGAGGGAGCCUAGGUUCAAGUCGCGGGAAAGGUCACGGCAGGGAAGCCCCCUCAGCCCCUCCGCGUCGCCUCCCCGCGGGCCGCCCCUCUCGGCCCUGCGCCCCGCGGCCCCGCAGCCUCCGCGCGGCCUCCCGCCCCAUCCCCGCCACUUUCCCCGGAGCUGGGCCGCGAACACCUCUCUAUUGAUGGUGUAGCGCUUUAGGGGAAGGAGGUGAUUGUCUAGGAGUAACUGUAUGUGCGCUCAGCACCGGGUCACAACCACCGUGGGAUCCACUUACAGAGAAGAUUUGUGGAGAGCUUCAGCCUGUUUAUGGUGUUACUGAGAAAGGAAUUGUGGCCAUUUGAUAUAAUUCUGGAUGGAAG